GGUAACUUGGUUGGGUCGUCUUCUCUGCUGUGUGGGCCUUGUUCUGUUGCUCUUUGCAGUAAUUCUUGCUGCUGCUGACUGUUGGGUCCGAGCCGUCUUUAAGAGCUAUUACACUCACGGUGAAGGUUUGUGGUUUCACUCCUGAAGUCAAGCGAGUCUACGAACCCACCGGAAGGAAGAAACUCCAGACUCUGAAGCAACAAACUCUGGACAUACCAAAUGUAAGAAUUGUAACACUCACCACGAGGGUCCGUGGCUUCCACCCUCGCAGCUUCCUCCUUGAAGUCUCCGAGACCAAGAGCCCACCGGAAGGAACCAAUUCUGGACCCAUCAGCUUUGUUAAUUUCCCUUGGAAAAGUAUUGAUGAUCAAGUGAUGCUAGCAGCAACAGUGUUAAAGGCUUUAACGCUUUUAAAGGUGAGACUUUUGGGAGUUGAUUAGGUCAUGAGGAUGGAGCCUGGUGAAUGGGAUCAGUGAAAGAGGCCUGAUGUGAGGGUGACACAGGCUUAAACUGAGACAAUCCAGCAUGGAACUCUUGCAGGAAGUACUAGGAAAGUGCAUUUUCUUUCCAUGAGGGUUGCCAAACUGGAAGCAUGUUAGCUAAAGCUACCUGUAGUCAUUUUGUGGCCACAUUGGGUGAGAUUGUCUGAGAAAGCAAACCAACUGAAGCAGAGCAGAGAAGAUACUCUACCAACCUAGUUGGAGCCCUGGUUCCAGCCUUGCCUGAAGCUAAAUGCACCUCUUUGCUUCCUUUUUACUGACCCAAUAAAUUUCCCUAUUUGUUUAAACAAGCUUGAUAUGAAUUUUUUUCACCCAGAGACUCUUGAUUCAUUUUUUUAUUAAUUAUGUGGCCUCCCACAAAGAUGAAUACUGAUGAAGUAUACUGCCAGCCAAGAAGCUCAGGGCUCUGAUUUGUAGUCUGAAGACACAUGUGGCAUACAUCAAAGAGUAAAGAUCUCCACUGGAAGCUUUGCUCUGUUAGCUUGUUGAGCUUUUGUUGCUUAAAGGGAGAAGAAGCUUGCUGAGUUUUCUAGAAUAGCACAGUGUAUUGUUUGAGUACAUAUCUUUGACAUGGCACAUAUUGCAACAUGAUCCCAAUUCACAGCAAAAUCAAUGGUGCCAAGGUUAUCAUUGUCUCAAUAUCACUGGACCUCAGAAAUUUCACAGGGGCCCCAGAGCUUUCAGAGUAAAAACAUCAAUCAUCCAUGCAGUGAUGCAGGAUUAAUUCACAUGUUCAAAAGCAUCUGGUCAUAACAAAGUUGUGUCUUCAGAGGAAGACUUGUUGUUUGAAGCUCAUCCUCCAGCAAGAUCAAUAAAUGUCCCAAAGCGCUGAGGACUCAUUCUUCCCCUUUUAUGUUUUCCUUUGCAUAAUGACAAAAACAAAUCUAGGGACAUUUGGAGCAGUUGUCUCUACUUAGAAAUAGUCCUUUGGGGCUCCAUGGGUAAAUGCCUUAAAUAAUAAGCUUUAAAUAUAAUGGAUAGUUCUUGUUCAGAAGAAGAAAUAAUGUUCUUUUUAAGAAUCAGCUGCAAAAAGGGGGAAUCAAAGAAAGAAAUCUUCAUUGAACUUGAAAGAAAACAUUGGGAGAAAAAAAUCACCAACUAUGGAACCACUAUAACUUCUUACAAUGCGGCAUGAAUAUGUCUAAGUUUUCACAAAAUAACACAUUUAAGAAUUUUAACUAGUCAAAAUACAAAAUCAGUCAACUUAUUGUUUGAAAUGCCUUGUUAUUUAACUUAACUGACCAUAUAAUUCAACCAGACACGUACUUACUAUGUGUACAUGUGCCUGCACCCCUGCAUGUGUUUGCAGAUCAAUAAUCUGAAGAUAGUUUGCAAAACCUUGAAAAGUUUACAGAAUCCCUUUGAAGCGCUGAGUAAAUCUUUCUUUAGUUUUGGAGUCAUUUGGAGGCAUGGUUCCCUUUACUCACAUCAGACUUUUGCUUUAGCAACAACAAAAAAUGGACAAUUUUCUACCAAAAGAAAAAAAUAAAUAAUUUUUUUGAAAAAUGUGGCUUUAUUUGCUCAUGGUAGUUCACCAGGAGCAGAAAUAUGAACUCCUUGAAAGUAAGUCUAUCUGUAAAGUAUUAAGUAACCACUUCUUAACCUUCAAUUCUAUGCUGUAAACUUUACUUUUUGUAAUAAGGUUAAAAGAGUGACACUAAUGGAAGUCUCUGAAAAUAACCUACAGCCUCUGCAAAGACUGGGUGUGUUUGCAUAAUCUAAACUGAGCAAACCUUGGAAGAAAUAUAUGAGCACACAUUCUAACACCUUCAAUUAAGUUCUGUUAAACUUCCAGAGACUAUGUAUCUUCUAUAAAUGGCGAGGAAAGUAGUUGAUUCAGACAGGCUACAGUGUUGGAAAUGGACUAGUCGCUGUAUUUCAUCUUUUGAGGGUUUUAUUGUUUCAAGCUAGUUAGAUUUUGAGCUCGAGCCUCUAAACUCUUCAAGAAGUAUAUAGAAAGAAGUAUCUGAACUCUUACAUAAGGUAUAUUCUAUAUGCAAAAUACCAGACAGCUAUCAACAACUUUCUCCAAAAUCAGAGAAAACUGGAAAUAAAGGAGAGGGUGUUUUU